GGUGAGGUGGCCGAGUGGUUGAAGGCGCACGCCUGGAACGCGUGUAUACGAGCAAUCGUAUCCAGGGUUCGAAUCCCUGUCUCACCGCCA
rnacentral:tRNA from 1 species